rnacentral:rRNA from 1 species
ACACAAAAAUGCACAUGCUGUGAGCUCGAUGAGUAGGGCGGGACACGUGGUAUCCUGUCUGAAUAUGGGGGGACCAUCCUCCAAGGCUAAAUACUCCUGACUGACCGAUAGUGAACCAGUACCGUGAGGGAAAGGCGAAAAGAACCCCGGCGAGGGGAGUGAAAAAGAACCUGAAACCGUGUACGUACAAGCAGUGGGAGCCUCUUUAUGGGGUGACUGCGUACCUUUUGUAUAAUGGGUCAGCGACUUAUAUUCUGUAGCAAGGUUAACCGAAUAGGGGAGCCGAAGGGAAACCGAGUCUUAACUGGGCGUUAAGUUGCAGGGUAUAGACCCGAAACCCGGUGAUCUAGCCAUGGGCAGGUUGAAGGUUGGGUAACACUAACUGGAGGACCGAACCGACUAAUGUUGAAAAAUUAGCGGAUGACUUGUGGCUGGGGGUGAAAGGCCAAUCAAACCGGGAGAUAGCUGGUUCUCCCCGAAAGCUAUUUAGGUAGCGCCUCGUGAAUUCAUCUCCGGGGGUAGAGCACUGUUUCGGCAAGGGGGUCAUCCCGACUUACCAACCCGAUGCAAACUGCGAAUACCGGAGAAUGUUAUCACGGGAGACACACGGCGGGUGCUAACGUCCGUCGUGAAGAGGGAAACAACCCAGACCGCCAGCUAAGGUCCCAAAGUCAUGGUUAAGUGGGAAACGAUGUGGGAAGGCCCAGACAGCCAGGAUGUUGGCUUAGAAGCAGCCAUCAUUUAAAGAAAGCGUAAUAGCUCACUGGUCGAGUCGGCCUGCGCGGAAGAUGUAACGGGGCUAAACCAUG